rnacentral:rRNA from 1 species
UACGGGGGGGGCAAGCGUUGUUCGGAAUUACUGGGCGUAAAGGGCUCGUAGGCGGCCAACUAAGUCAAACGUGAAAUCCCUCGGCUUAACCGAGGAACUGCCUUCAAACUGUUUGGCUUGAGUCCGGGAGAGGCGAGUGGAAUUCCAGGUGUAGCGGUGAAAUGCGUAGAUAUCUGGAGGAACACCGGUGGCGAAGGCGGCAUCCUGGACCGGUAUUGACGCUGAGGCGCGAAAGCUAGGGGAGCAAACGGGG